AAUUCGAUGUCUUUCUCGUAGAGAGUAGCAAAAACUCGCAUUGCAGCGGUCGAAAUAACGUUUCCGUGGACCUUGAUGGCAGCCAUGACUCUGAGGAAUUGAAGUAAGAAAUUUGAGCAACUGAGAAAGAGGUGGUGUUAUUUGGACCCUGAUAUGGCCUAGUAUUUAUAAGACAAUGACCUUUGCGUUUGAGGAUAAGGAUCAAGUGCUUCUGAAAAAAAAUGGCUUUUAGCGCAAGCUAAUACAUAGUUUGGAUGGAAAACUUCUAAUUAUUGUUUUUAAGUUGGCUCUUGAAGAAUAAUAGAUUGGUUGGGAAAAGAUACAUUAUUUGUUUUUUCUAUUUGUUUUAUUUUUCACAAAGUUUUGGGCAAAAGCUCAAGGGGAUUUCACGUGCAUUGAUCCUAGGAUCUCAGGAAAGGGAUCCGGCAAGCAUCCAAAUCCUUUCGUAUGCACCUAUGUCACUCACAACUCACCGGUCUUCUUAAAAUGCAAAAGGAAGAGCAACAGGAAGCCAAAUACGACUUUCUGAAAAGAGUAACUGCAAGUCAAAAUAGGGUGCUUCCAAGAACUUGAGGUCUAGAUUCAGAUAAUACAAUUUAUUGGAUAAAAAAAAUAUAAUUUUAUUUUAUUUACGAUUAGGGUGGGCAGCGGAGGAAAGAUUUUUUAGUAUGAUCGGCAUAUGGGGUGGUACAACAUAUGUCACUACAUAAAUAGUGAGAUAUGUGUGUUAAAAAAUUAAUAAUUUAAAAAAUAAAAUUUCUCACCAUUUACAUGAAAACAAAUGAUAUACCAUUCGUAUUCCCGUCACAAUGAAAAAUUUCUCGAAGUGAAGCUGGUCAAGCUCCUCCACCAUAGCAAAUAAAUUAUUUUCUCUUUGUCAGAUAUUGCACAUGUAAUUGUCUAGGGUAUGGAAUAAACUAUGAGAUACGGUUUUAGUGCAUGAUAUUUAUUUAUGUUUUUUAAUAAAAAAAAUUAUAAUGUGUGAAAAUCACUUUUUUUAAAAUGCAUAUGUAGCAUGAGAUAUUUUUUAAUGUGUUCGGAAGUGGAUAAAUUUUUUUUUUCUUCAAAUGUUCCUCCACUUGUAUAACUUCACUUGUAUAAUAACAAAUGACAUAUGUGUUUGUGAUCCAAACACUGGAAAUCUCUAAUGUACGUGUGCUUCCAAGAACUGGCCAUCUAGAUUCAAAUAAUAGGGUGAAAUGCCGAUUUAGUUCAUGAUCACUUUAGUGAAAAUUAGGUCUCUAAAUUAUUUUUUCGAUAAAAUAAGUCCCUAAAUUCAUUAGAAAUUGCUAAUUUCAUCUAUAUUAUUAUAUUCAAAGCUAGAUUAUCUAAUUUUUCGUCAACUUAAGUCAUUUGAUACAUUUUAGAGUGCAAUACCAUCAUUUUCUCGUCUAUAAGCCCUUAACAUUUCAUAUAGGUUGUGAAUUUAAUGUCUAAUUUACCCUCAAAAGUUAACUUACACUAGUUUUUUUUAUGAAAAACUACCAAUUUAUCCUCCAAAAUUAACUCCAUACACUAUUUCUUUAUGAAAAACUAUCAAUCUACCCUCCAAUGUGUAUCACAUACAAGUAACGUGACUUAAAUUGACGAAAAAUUGAAUAUAGUAUCUUCGAAUAUAACAUUAGGGAUGUAAUUGGCAGAUUUUUAUAAUUCAGGGACUAAUUUUUCUGAAAAAAAUAGUUUAGAGACCUAAUUUUCACUAAGGUGAUAAUUCAAGGAUUAAAUUGACAGUUUACCCCAAAUAAUAUAAUCUAAUUACAUAAUUUAAUUCACGAUUAGGGUGGAUAGUGGAGCUGGACACGCUCCUCCAUACACACAAAAAUUAUUGUUUAGGACAUGCCGAAUUCUAAAGGAGUAAACUAUGAGAUACAGUUUUCGCGUACGUUGUUCAUAUAUGUUUUUUGAUAAAAAAAAAUAGUGUGUGAAAAUCAUUUUGUUAGACUAUGAGCACAUAUAAAUGUGCAUAUAAACGCAUUUCAGCUUGGUGGCCUCCUUUAAUGUCAUUAUCUUUCUUUAUUUGAAAGAAAAAGAAGCAACUUUAAUUACCUCGUUGGAAACUUACGUUUAUGGAUGCUUGAUUGAAAAUAAAUGAUUUCAAGGUGUGUGAGAAAGCCGCUCUUAAUCGUAGAUUCGUCACUUGGAGAUAAUCAGCGUAACAGGUUACAGCGGAUUACCCUACACUUGUAAUAAUUCGAUUGAUGAACAACAACUUUGUUAUUCUUUUGGAUAAAAAUCUUACAGAAUUUGAUGAUGCUCAAGUUAUUUUUGAGGAGGUUGGGAAACACUCAUAGGGAGUUUGGAAGAGAAAAGAAUAGUCAAAUGAGGAUAUUUCCCCCCAAAGAAUAAUAGGUAUAUAUAGGAAAAUUAAUUUUGAUACAACAAUCUAGAACGUCACUGCAAUCUGUUUUGUGUCAAGUCUUCCGUUAGCUACAAACACUAUAUAUCAAACGCCAAGUCUUCGAUUUUGCUGUAAGAAAAUUCAAUGUGAUGUUAAGGAAAAGCAAAUGUUAAACGCCAAGUGUUAUGACUUAGUUUAUACAGAAAAUAAAUUAACAAUUGAAAUCAUAACGGAUGUUUUAAACAAAGAUACCAUCAGAAGAUCAAAGUAACUGAAGAAAACAGCCUAAUUAAUAGUAAUAAGCAUCCUUAUUGAAAUUAAGAGAGAACCUGUUACCCACAAUUACAGGAGAGACUUUUUCGUGUACCCGUAACGGGAUGGUACAUCACAUGUUAUUAUACAAUUGGAGGUAUAUUUGAAAAAACAAAAACUUUCUUUCACUUAUAAAAUAACAUGUGACAUACCACUCCAUGUUCCAAGCACACUGAAAAUCUCUCGAAUUAUAGACUAACUAGUCAAACAAUGAAAAGAAGUACUUACUUGUACUCUAUGUUGCAUUGAUCACAUUUUUCAUUUAGUGGUUAUUCAAUAAAUAGACGAAUAAUGUUACAUAAACUUUGGUAAUGUUAAUUGAACGGUUAUACUAUAAACUUUAGCAACGUUAAUUGAACGGUUAUACGAUUUUUGCUUUGAUUGAUUUUUGCAGCGUUAAUCUUUUAAGGGUCAUUUUGGUUCUGGUCCUAAUCAACCUAAUUGUUAGAAUGAAACAUUGUUUGUUUAAAUAUUUUGAUCUAGGUCCUUCGCCUCAUUUAAGAGAUUGACUCAUGCAUUUAUGCAUUUAAUGUCACAUCCCCGCCUGGGGUCCACCACAUCAUGGGCCCUCUCCACCACCAUAGCACGAUAUUGUCCGCUUUGGGCUUACCAUUCCCUCACGGUUUUGGUUUUGGGAACUCAUGAGCAACUUCCUAGUGGGUCACCCAUCAUGGAAGUGCUCUGGCCUUCUUCUCGUUUAACUUCGGAGUUCCUACGGAACCCGAAGCCAGUGAGCUCCCAAAAUUCCUCGUGCUAGGUAGGGAUGAGAAUAUACAUUAAAUGAUCACUCCCUGGGCGAUGUAGGAUGUUACAUUUAAUGUCCCACAAAUUAUGAAAUUUAAACAAAUUCAAAUAAUAUUUUUUAAAAUAUAAUAAAUACUAAAAUAUCAAUUUUAGAGUAAUGUUGUUCUUCACAAAAAUUAUAACAAUAAUAAUAAUAAUAAUAAUAAUGUGCCCACAUAAUUAUUAACAUAUUUUAAAAAAUAACCAUUGAUAUAUUUUAAUACAUAUAAUUAGCAUGGGUACAUUUAGCAAAAUAAAAAAUGGGUACCAAUAAAUUUAAAAAAUAUGGGUACAAAUUAAAGCUGAAAAGAAAAUUGGUACAACUUAAAAAAAAAGGCUUGCAAAUUAAAAAUAAAAAAUAUAUGAUAAAAAAUUUAGCAUAAAUAUAAAUAUUCCAAAUGUAACGUUUCUAACACUAAAUGAAUAUAUUUAGAAAUAAAAAAAUAUUUUAUUGUUAAAAUAAUUAAUGACGUUUAUUAAAAUCUUAGAACCUUGAUAAAAAUUUAAAAAGAAAUGAGAUUUUAAUCAAUGAAAUAUGAAAAGUAAGAAUGAAAACUUAAUUUUUUUCAUUUUUUAAAUUAUGAGUUAGAAGAUAGACGCUUUUAAUUAUUAAAAAACAUUAUCGAGAAGAUUGACCCUUUUAUGCGUAAGAUUGUGCAAGUUUGGAAGGUGAGUGAGAUCGGCGGAGGUGAGGUUGUCAUUUCCCAAGUAGCUAGUUAGAUUUGCUGAGUCGAUCGAUCUUCAUACACGUCAACAUAUUUGUGAUAUAAUUAGAGUUUAAAAUUUCUUUUACACGGUCGAUAUUUUUGUGCAAAUAUUAGAAAAAUUAGAAAAAGAUAUGGAAAGGGAGGGAGGUAAAGUCUAAAUUCAUCUCAUAUUGGUUAAAUAUCAACAAAUUUUCAUUUGAUAUUCCUUAAUUAAUCUCAUUUCAAAUUUUCAAGUUUUUGAGCAAAUUUCCAUCAUUUCCGUCUAAUGUAACCAAUAUUGAUAUCAAUAUAUCUAUCGAUAUUUCACAAAUUUGAAUACAAAUAUUUCCAUACUAGAUAUAACCAUGCAAUACUUCAAAAGAAUUGGAGAAAAAAACUCACCAAAUCGAUCAAUGAUCUUGCUUUCUACUAAUUGACUUCGUCUUCUUCUUGGACGAGAAUCCCAAUUUCCAGUUUGGGUUGCAAGAAAUCUCUUCUUUUUUUUGACACACAUUUACCAAAGGAUAGCCGACACAUUUGAAUCACAUUUGUUAUUUAAACCAACUCUGACUCUUGGAUCCAAUCCAAAUAUUUGAGUUUAAACCCAAAAAAAUGUCACCCAAAACUAGGACUCAAACGGUCAAACCUAUAAAUUUGAGUUUGGACCCAAAUUUGGGUUCAGAUUUGGCUGACCCAAAUCUUGAAUGGGUCCCAUUUAAAAUGUAGCUAAAUAUAAGAAUUAGUGGCCAACAAUUAGGCCCCAAGUGGCAAGGACCCCAGUUGUCCAAUGGUAAUUGUAGCCAUUUUGAUUUUUGGACUGUUGGUUAUCAACACUCCAGAUCAAACUCCUUUUUUGGGCAACCAUUUUAAACUAAUCUAAUGGUAUAUAUGCUUGUUUUUGUCAAAUCCAAUGGCUGAAAUCUAAGUCCAAUGCCAAAACAAUAAAAUAAUAUUUGGUAUGUGUAUUGAACUUUGGUUGGUUAAUGUAUGUAUUGAAGUUUGGUUGGUUGAGUGAUUAGUUGGUGUGAUUUGUUUGGUUUCGAAAAUCUUAUUGGAACUUAAAAUUUUUUAGAUUUAAAUAUUCGUAAAAUUAAAUUAUAACAUAACUAAAAGUUACAAAAAAAAUAAAAUAAUAAUUAGGGUUAAAGCCAUUCUACAACUAUUAAUACAUUUUAAGUUUUGAAAUUUAAGUUUAGAAGAUUGUGUGACAUUCACUGUUCACAUAAAUACUUGAAAUUUUGAGAUAUAAUUGAGUUAUGAAAAGAAAUUUAAGUAAAAAUUAACACGUAUACAACAAAUUCAAAAAAAAAAAAAAAAACACACACACACACAUAUAAUACAAGUGGACGAAAAUAACCUUAAAAUUGACAACUAAAUGAAGAAAAACAUUAGCAAGAACUAGAAGGCUUAUAAUUCAAGGAAAUUGCUAAAUUACAUCUGUGUUGCUUUCAAGUUCACUAAUAAUUUUCAUGCCCUCAGCCACUUUGAUCGAGGCAGGCCUAGCUGAAAUUUCUUCCCACCAUGCCUUCACGUGAGGACGAUCGUUAACCAACGAAGUCCAAGGAGUCUUCAUGAAAUAAAAGGUGUAGGGGUAGUGACGAAGGUCAGCUAGGCUGUAGAACUCAGCAGAAAGGUACUUGUUUGUUGCUUGCUGCUCAGCCUUCUCUCAUACACGUCGAGCAACUUCUCUAGCUUCUCUAAACUCCCGUUGAUGAGUGCUUGAUCCAGUUUAAUUCUGUUUGGACCCAAAAUUACAUCACCGUCUGUGCAAUCAAAGCCAUUGAGUGAACAUAGUUCUCUACUAUUGGAUGGUAGAAUAGUUAAGAUAAUUAUUAUUGAAGGAUAUAUUGUGAUUUUAAUCAUGAUAUUAUCUUUUAAUAGUAUAUCAAUUCAUAUGGACUGAAUAUGAUUAAUAUCCUAGAGUUUGUUCGGAAAUGGGUUUCUCUGCAUGAGAUAAUAUUAAAUAAGAAUGGUUGGAUAAUAUUAAAUAAGAAUGGUUAUAUAAUUACCAAUGGUCAGAAGAAAAAUUGCAAUUCAUUUGUAAAUUCUCUAGUCAACACAUGCAUACACGUGGAGGGUUGGGAGACUACUUCCCAUGUAAUUAUGUACCGCAAGUUUGGUGAUUACACAAUCGGCCCAAACGAUCGAGGCUGUUGAGUGAACGAAGUUCUAAACCGUUAGGUGAUUGAGUCAGGAUAAUUUUAGGGGAAUGUAUUCAAUUGGGAAUUUAAGAGAUUUUAAUAGAUUUAUAAAUCUAUGGAUUUUUAUGGAGUUUAACUGAUUUGUAGAGAUUUUAUGUAAAAUUUUGAUUCAAUUCUCUCGAAAUUUCAUGGGGAGAUGUGAGAUUUGUGUAUGCUUAAAAUACACUACAAAAUCUCUCCAAUUCCUUCUAAUUCCUCAAUUUUUUAAAUUCUUUAAAUUCUAAUUCUAAUUGAAUACUUCUGGAAUGUUAUAAACUUCUUUAAAAUUUUAAUUGAAUACACUCGGAUUUCUAAGGAUUUUAAUAAAUUAUCUUAAAAUUCUGAUUGAAUACCCCUAUAUUCAUUAAAAGAAUUAAAAUCCCUCAAAAUCCCAAUUGAAUACACCUUCCAUAGUUAUUAUUAAGGAAUAAUAUUGUGAUUUUUAUCAUAAUAAUUAUCUCUUAAUAAUAUAUUGAAUUAUCUAGAGCACAUCUGGGUGGUAAAGUAGCGGUGAUUUGAUACAAUGUUAUGUGGUUUAAUACUGCUGCAAUCUCGUGGAAAGAUAGCAUGACUAUCAUGAAUGGAGUCAGAGUAUGGCAGGAUGAUUAUCAAGUCCAACAACUAAUUUGAAGAUGGGAUUGCAUGCAAAGGAGAAAUUUUUAAGAGUGAUAGAAACACACACCUCAACAAGACAGGUGGUGUUACUAAUCAAUUUUUGACUUCGGUUCACUUGGAUUAGGUGAUUUAUUUAUUAAUGGUGGUUUAUUUAUUAUUUCACGGAUAACGAAGCCUUAAGACCACUUGUUUCCUCUCAUCCGUCUCUCUCUUCGUCUAUCUCUUCACAGCAGAUACUUUUGAGACCUAAUCAACUAACUGAUUUGGGGAUUACAAUUGAAUUAAAAUUGGGUAAUAACAUAAGAUAGAUGGAGAAGAGACAACUUUGAAUGAAGUGAGAGAGCCCAGAGAGGAAGAAGAGAGGAAUAGAUAGAUGAAGAGAGAGACAGAUGAGAGGGAACAAGGGGUGUUAAGACUUCGUUAUCCAUGAAAUAAUAAAUAAACCACCAUUAAUAAAUAAAUCACCUAGUCCUAGUGAGCCUAAAUCAAAAUUUAGCUGUUAAACUUUAAUAGGAAAACUAAUGAAAAGGGUUUGAAAACUUUAAGUUUUAACGAUAAGGACAAAAUAAAGGGUAAAGUGAAUAGUAUUAGGAUUGAUUUUUUAGUGUAAAAAUGUGGUUUUUCGUUAAAUUGAACAGUACCGGGAGCUUUUCGUUAAAGUUCCCAACUUUAAUUGGUUGGGAACAUCACCUAUUCUGCUGAGGUGUGUGUUCACGUCACUUCCAAAAAUUUCUCCAAUCCAAGGGUGGAAAUUGAAAAUAAAGAUUGGAUUGCAUGCACGUGGCCACAAACUAAGCCCAAAUGGCGUGAUUUCAACAAACCGAGUCUGAAUCGUAUUUCGUGGGGUUAUUAAAGGAUAUUCUUAAGAAUAUUAUUGGCAGCUUUUGUACUUCUCGGAAUGCAAUUAUACAAUGUGGUCGUCAAACAUACAAGCUCUAUAAAUACAGGACGUACCACGACGAGAAGGCCCUUUCAAUUCAACACACAAAUUGCCCUACUCAAAAAUUUUUAACAACCCUCAGAUUUUAUCCUAUCCCCCUUUCUUCUCGUCAACACAUCUUCAAUUUGGAUAAAACAACAUUGUGAAGGCAACUGGAAACAUCUUCAGUUUGGAUUAAUAGCACUGGAGUCGUAGAAUCAGCUGACCGAGGAGCACCCUCAAUUUGGAUAAACAACACUGCUUCGAGACCAACUGGUUAUUUAUCGAAGUCUCAGUCAACAAGGAUUUCCGAGUCCUUGUUGGUAAAGGUCAUCUCAUCAGCCUUCUAGGUAAAGUGAGGUGUUACCAGGUUACUACAUUCGGCACAUUGAAAGUCGAAUUUGAUAUUGAACUUCGAAGAAACUAGCAGCCUUGUCUUCAGGCUCUAGAACUCGAAAGCCGAGACGUGUUCCUUCCUCGACCGCAGUCGUAGAUCAAGAAGUCAGUAGCGCGCUCAAUGCGAUAUCAGCAUAUUUUACUCCCCGGCCGAGCUCGGCCGUCGAGUUGGCACGCCCCGCAUAUAACCAAAUGACGUAGUUAGCUCAUUAAUUACUCGGCCUGUGUGCCACAUAAGCUUGAUAGUUUUUAGGAUCAACAACUUCCCGGUGUAGGCUUCCCAAAGAACUCAGAGGACAAAUUGCAGGGUGGUACUGUUGGGAUUCCACUUCUGUCCAUACCUUGACGAAUGCAGCUUCUUUCGAGUUUUCGUACGUAAUGAGAUCGUAUCCGGUUUCCUUAAAUUUUUCCUCUACAUAUCCUGUGAUUGCCCUUGAUUCUGGUGUUACAAAUGAAAGACAAUUAAAAUAUAUAAGUUUUGUCAAAUUAGUGAAUAUCCAAUGUAGGAUUUGAGAGGCUUACCAAAAAGUGUGAUGUCACGAUCUUCAAACGGUGGAAUAAGGCCAAAGGACUACGUGUGAUGGGGAGAGAGAUAUCAUAAAAAAUUGCUACAACCAAAGCAAUUAGCUUAUACAUACAAAAUUGAAGAUUCACACUAUGUUUGAAUGAAAAAAUUUAAGAUUACUAAAGAAUUUUAAAAUAACGAAAAUUAAAAUGACGGAAUUUUAUUUUCUAGAAUUUAUGAAUUUUCUUGUUUGGUUAACUUAAAAGAACAGUUGAAAUGAAUAUGAAAUUUGUUGUUCUUAAACUCUUAAUCAUAAAAAUUGGGAAAUAACAUAUAUUUACAUGGAAUUUAAACUGGAAAUUGAAGGUCCCAAAUUCUAAGUUUUUUUCCAUCUAGAAAUUCAAUAUUUCUAUGUUUAUAAAUUCAAACAAGGAAGUUGGUGCAUGUCAAUUUAUAAAUUCAGACUUUUAUCCAAUUUUCAAGCUUAUUUCUCUCAUCCAAAUAUAGUGUCAACUUUUUUGGUAACUUAUGGCCAAUGAAAUUUACGUUCUUGGCAAGAAAGGAGGCUGCUUGUUUUCGAGGCCCAAAAUGUUGAUGGGGACAAACUCGAAAUCAACUUUUUUUCGUGAAGACAGACCUCUACGCGAGCCGUGCAGAGCGACACAGGAAAUCCAUGCAGCUUCAGCACCAUUUCUAGGCCAGUAGAGAGCUACGUGGGGAUGAUCUAUAAUGCUUUGAGUCUGGCUGAAUAGCUUUCAUUGAUUUCUUUACAAGGAAUAACACAAGGUUAUAUACUAGUCUAGGAGUGACUUUACGCGAAAAGUAAUAAAUGAAAACAUGUAAUUAGCAGCAGCUAUAUACACAAAUGAACAAUUAGAUAUUAUGUAAAAGUCAACGGUUGAAUUGCCCAGCUGGGAUGCUUUAUAUCUGGAAGAGAUGGUGUAGUCAUGGCUGGUGUAGGAGUGAUAGAUGGAGAGGAUGAGACUUCCCUUUUUAUGAACAAGCUCUAUAGUCUAUGCUAUGGAUGUUGAAGAUGCUGUGUCUUUAAGGCACUAGGAGGACUAUCACUAGUUGGUACAUUUCCGGUUCUGGGUGACUAUAAGGCUCUUCUUGUUACAGUUAGGUUAGUCUUGUCCGACUUCCAUGGUUGCCAUGUGAAUUAGGUUAGCACAAUCCUUCGUUUGUGUUUUAAUUAUAUUACCAUAUAUUUCUGACACAAAUUACUGGUUUGGUGGAUCACAAACUUCAAACACCAAAAGGCAUCGAUCUUCGUAACGAAAAUGGAAGAAUAAUCUCAAAGGCAUACAACAGCAGCAGUAGCAGAGUCUCGUCCUCCAACUGUUGAACUUAAUUAUAUACUUCAUUCAGAGACCAAGAUCAACCUUGCAUGAUGUACUACAAACUAAUAUACACGCAUGCAUUUAUACUAGUCAUAUUACUCAUUAAAUCAUCAUUUUGGCAGAAACUAGGGAUGCACUUGCUUGCUGUCGUAGAUGAGAUGAUUGAGAUGAGAUUUGGACCUUCCUUUCUCUUGGAAACGGAAUGGAACUCUUACUCUCGAUAGGGCGAGCAUUCACAUUUUGAGAACCUUGUAACUUACCCGAUAAAGGGGAUCAAAACCUGACUUAUAGGACGCAACUGCUCCACCUAUCAUGGUAGCAGUUGCUGUCAGUUUUCUUCAAGUUUUGUAACUGUCUUCCAUCCAUAAUUUGUACAAGUAAUAUGGUUUUCUCACUUUAUAUUAAAUGUGUACUUAAUGUAUAUAAAUUAUACUAUAACCAUAUUUCCUUUAUUAAAUGGUUUGGACCAUUUCUCACACAAAAGUUCUUACACCAACUACUUAGGGGAAACAGAAAAUCAAACGUAUGUUUGAUAACAAACAGACAUGUUGUUAUUUUAGAUAUAUGACUCUGAUGAGUAAGCAGCUGCAACAGAAAUCUUUAGUUCUUGUUUCACUUUUGCAGGGCAAUGACUUUCUUCCAAGCUGGCCUUGCUGUGAUAUCAGCUACCCAUGCGCUAACAUGGGGGCGGGACACGAACAGCUUCUUCGAUUGUGUUCCCAUCAAGUAAUGUAUGGAGGGAAUGUGGUGAAGAUCAGCCAAAGUGAAUCUUUCGCCUGCCAAGUAUUUCGACUGAGCCAGACGAAUCUCAUACACAUCCAGAACCACAGCCAACUUGGCUUCAUAUUCCUCCACAACUGCCGCAUCUGUGGGCAUUUUAAGCAUAGGCUUUAUAACUUGCUCAAAGGUCAGUUUUGAGGCCGCCGGGUCGAACUUUUGGCCCUCCACCUCACACCCUACUGCUAUCAUUGCCAUCUUCUUAGAGUCUUGGAACACCAGCGGGGUUCCCUUGUCAGCAUACUCGUGGACAAUGUAUUGUGUAAUUGCCCUUGAUUCUGCACAUCAGAAGGUCCACAGCUUAACUUAUAUGCACAAAUUCAUAUUCAUGUACGUUGUGUGUGAAUUUGAUGUCACGACUACAACUGCGAUGCCAUAUUCCAAGCCAAUCAAGAACGGACAAUGUAUUUUAACUUUUUUUCACAUGAAUGUCCUCGACGGGUUUGUGAUACCCCGCAUCCCAGUUAUAGGCAAAUUUUUCUCGAUGUGAAUGAACUAAAUACAAUUUUAUCUUAUAUAAACAAAUUCAUAUAUGCUCCGAGUGUGACAGUGAUUGAUUGAUUUGGAUACCGUCACAACUGCAUCCGAUUUACAGAUAAGUUUAUCACGACGUGAGUGAGCUAAACACAGACUUACCAAAGAGCUUAAGAUCUCCGUCUUCGAAAGCUGGAACUUCACCAAAUGGCUGCAUCAAAUGAAGAAAAGAAAUGUGAGAUUUAGUUUUGUUCUUCAUGUUCUCAUAGUAAUCAUACACUUACAUUGAGGGAAAUGAAGGGCUCCUUUUUGUGUUCACCAGUUCCCAAGUCGAUUGGAACAAGCUCAAAUUUGAUGUCUUUCUCGUAGAGAGCAGCAAUCACUCGCCUUGUACAGACCGACAAAACGUUUCCGUGGACCUUGACUGGAGCCAUGACUCUGGAGGAAGAGAAAAG
rnacentral:lncRNA from 1 species